UGGGGAAUAUUAGACAAUGGGCGCAAGCAUGAUCCAGCCAUGCCGACGUGGGUGUAUGAAGGCCCUAGGGUUGUAAAGCCCUUUCAGCGGGGAGAGAUAAUCGACGGUACCCGCAGAAGAAGCCCCGGAUAUACUUCGUGCCAGCACCCGCUAUAAUACGAAGGGCAAUAGCGUUGCGCAGAAUUAGUGGG
rnacentral:rRNA from 1 species